CCCUUAGAUGUUCUGGGCCGCACGCGCGCUACACUGAUGCAUGCAACGAGUUUAUAACCUUGGCCUGAAAGGUCUGGGUAAUCUUUUGAACGUGCAUCGUGAUAGGGAUAGAUUAUUGCAAUUGUUAAUCUUGAACGAGGAAUUCCUAGUAAACGCGAGUCAUCAGCUCGCAUUGAUUACGUCCCUGCCCUUUGUACACACCGCCCGUCGCUACUACCGAUUGAACGGUUUAGUGAGGGCCUCGGAUUGGUCUCGGCCCGCUCUUUACCGGGCGGCGCCGUUGGUCGAGAAGACGCUCGAACUUGAUCGUUUAGAGGAAGUAAAAGUCGUAACA
rnacentral:rRNA from 1 species